GAGUGAAAUCAGGAGAACCCGACUCCAGCCCCCUUCCCCUUUUCUUUUUCUUUCCUUCAUACCUGGAUCCUUUUUCCGGUGAAAUCACCGCCGUCGGACCACCGCCGGGCUCGACACUGGCUAUCACAGGAUCCUCUCUUCCUCCUCUUUCAUCUAAGCUUCUCACGACCGGUGGAGGAAGAAUAGAUGGUGUUUGAGAGCUUGAACAGUAACUGACGAAGUCUUGAUUUUGGGAUCGAAUUUUCGGCUAUUUCUGCUUGUUUUUGGUUGUUGUUAUAGGUAUAGAAAUUGUUGGGUUGGUAUGGAGAUUAUUUUGAGCUUGAUAGGUUGGCCGGAUUUGGGAAAUUGGUGGGCUGGCGCGUGAAGCCACGCGCCGCUGCUGGUGGUGGUGGUGAGGAGGCUCAGUCAGCCCCUCAAAACCCAUUAUUACAGUUGUUGAAUUAUGCUUUAGGAUUGAGAAAUGUUUAGUUAUUGAAUUUCAUGGGAAUUUGAUGUUGGAUAUGGUUGUUUUGAAUAUUAUGGUUUAAAUCUCUUGGUUGUUUGCUCU